rnacentral:rRNA from 2 species
GGAUGCGAUCAUACCAGCACUAAAGCACCGGAUCCCAUCAGAACUCCGAAGUUAAGCUUGCUUGGGCGAGAGUAGUACUAGGAUGGGUGACCUCCUGGGAAGUCCUCGGGUUGCAUUCC